AUUGAACGCUGGCGGCAGGCCUAACACAUGCAAGUCGAGCGGAUGACGGGAGCUUGCUCCUUGAUUCAGCGGCGGACGGGUGAGUAAUGCCUAGGAAUCUGCCUGGUAGUGGGGGACAACGUUUCGAAAGGAACGCUAAUACCGCAUACGUCCUACGGGAGAAAGCAGGGGACCUUCGGGCCUUGCGCUAUCAGAUGAGCCUAGGUCGGAUUAGCUAGUUGGUGGGGUAAUGGCUCACCAAGGCGACGAUCCGUAACUGGUCUGAGAGGAUGAUCAGUCACACUGGAACUGAGACUCGGUCCAGACUCCUCCGGGAGGCAGCAGUGGGGAAUAUUGGACAAUGGGCGAAAGCCUGAUUCAGCCAUGCCGCGUGUGUGAAGAAGGUCUUCGGAUUGUAAAGCACUUUAAGUUGGGAGGAAGGGCAGUAAGUUAAUACCUUGCUGUUUUGACGUUACCGACAGAAUAAGCACCGGCUAACUCUGUGCCAGCCGCCGCCGUAA
rnacentral:rRNA from 1 species